CUUUCUCUUUGCUAUAAUCUCCUUCCCCGUAUUCUCCUUCCACUUGACUUCUCCUUUCUCUACCUCCUCCCUUCCUCUUUUUCUGCUUCCCCUUUCCUUUCUCCCCUUCCUCUUCCCUCCUCUCCCUCCCUGCUUUCCCUUCCCCAGGGACAGAGCAGGCACGGUGAUUCAGCCUUGCCAAGCCGGCCCCGGUGCCAAUCUGGGAGCCGGCACGAGGGGAGCCAGCUGUGUUUAAGGAAAAAACUGCUUUGAGAAACAAAAAUAGUCCCGUGGGGGUGAUUCUUUUCCCCCCUCUCCUUUUUUUCCCUUUCAAGAGCUCGGCUCCCGGCCGGGGCCGGCAGCUGUGCCGUGCCAAGCCUUUCCCCGUGCCAACUGGCGGCUCCCGGUGCUGGGAACACACGGCGUGGCCUGGCCGCGGCAUUCGGCUUCCCAAAAACUGCUCCGCUGGGAGCAGCUGCUGGGGCAGUGCUGAGCGUGGCCGAGUGUCCCUGCUCGGUGUCCCUGCUCCUUGUCCCUGCUCUGGGUGUCCUACUCCAUGUUUCUGCUCCGGGUGUCCCUGCUCGGUGUCCCUGCUCUGGGUGUCCUACUCCAUGUUUCUGCUCCGGGUGUCCCUGCUCCUUGUCCCUGCUCCAUGUCCCUNNNNNNNNNNNNNNNNNNNNNNNNNNNNNNNNNNNNNNNNNGUGUCCUACUCCAUGUUUCUGCUCCGGGUGUCCCUGCUCCUUGUCCCUGCUCCAUGUCCCUGCUCUGAGUGUCCUACUCCAUGUUUCUGCUCCGAGUCUCCCUGCUUGGUGUUCCUGCUCCUUGUCCCUGCUCCAUGUCCCUGCUCUGGGUGUCCUACUCCAUGUUUCUGCUCCGAGUGUCCCUGCUCGGUGUCCCUGCUUCGUGUCCCUGCUCCAUGUCCCUGCUCCGUGUCUAUUCUCCAAAUGUCCCUGCUCGGAGUGUCCUGUUCCAUGUUUCUGCUCAGUGUCCCUGCUCUGAGUGUCCUACUCCAUGUCCCUGCUCCAUGUCUAUUCUCCAAAUGUCCCUGCUCUGUGUCCUGUUCCAUGUUUCUGCUCCGUGUCCCUGCUCUGAGUAUCCUACUCCAUGUCCCUGCUCCAUGUCUAUUCUCCAAAUGUCCCUGCUCGGAGUGUCCUGUUCCAUGUUUCUGCUCCGAGUGUCCCUGCUCCUUGUCCCUGCUCCUUGUCCCUGCUCCGUGUCCCCGCUCCAUGUCCCUGCUCCAUGUCUAUUCUCCACAUGUCCCUGCUCCGAGUGUCCUGCCCCUUGUCCCUGCUCCUUGUCCCUGCUCUGAGUCCCUGCCCCGAGCUUCUCCACAUCUCCCUUUUUCGAAUGUCCCUGCCCCAAGUGUCCUAACCCCAAGCGCCUUCACUCCAAACAUUCCAUCCCCAAGCCUUCACCCAGCAUUCCUGCUCCGAACAUCCUCUUGCUGAGCAUUCCUGAUCCCGAAAAUCCUCACCCCCAGCAG
rnacentral:lncRNA from 1 species